rnacentral:lncRNA from 1 species
AUUUAAUAGAAUCGGGGAAUUAAAAACUAAUCGUUAUUGAGUAAAGAAAAUCUGAUACGUUUUGUGUUUAAUCUGAUAAAUGUUUUGCAAUUUUUGAUCAAUCUUCUUGCAUUUAUAAAUUAAAUGGGAAGAUACUGCGAACCAAGCAAAUCCCAUCGGAUAAACAUAUCUUUCUAAGAAAUUACGUAGAAUAAGAGCGAGAUCCCCUUAGGACAAGCAUAUUUAUCAAUAGUGAAGGGGAUGGUGGUGGCUAUUGAUUCGCUGGUAAUUUUUCACGCGAUUUAUGAGGUGCCGGUGACAAGCCUUCUCCAAAGACAUUAUAAAUGUUAUUUGGUCGUGUCUUGACUUCUAACUACCAGUUCCGAGAUCGGAAUACAUCGGGAACUUUCAAAUCUGAUUAUGGAGAUUUCCGUUUUAUGUCGGCUUAUUGCCGAUUAAUGAACUCGUUUCAUUUUGCUAGUUUAAAGUUGCGUGAUGCGUUAUGUCCCUUACAUUUAUUGCUUAGUUUGUUGACCGACAAUUCAUCCGAUUUAUAACCGUGUCAAUGCAACCAUUUUCAGUUCGGAGAGUAUAUUCGAUUUUUUUUUACUUUUUUAUUUUUUGGAGGUCUAGAAUGUACUAAUAGAACCAUUCUGUCUAGACGAUGUCAGUGCAUCGGUGCAAAAGGCUUCUGGUCUUUUCAGCUAAUUGGCAUGUCGCCAACUAAUGCUUUACUGAAGUCUGGAACAACUUAAGUCUUUACACGUAAAAUUUCUUUGUGUGAUAUCGGAAGAUGCAUUAUUGUCAACAAGCUUUUGUUUUUGCUUCCGAUGUGUAGAUGAUAGAUUUUAAUCGAACUCGGUAUUACUUGCAUCAUAAAAAAAAUCUCUUUUAAUACCAAAUUUUUUUAUUACGAAUGAAUUUCAAUUAUUUUGUAAUUUUUAAAUUAGCGUUUUUAUACGUCCAACCGUAUUAGUUUUAUCAUUGAAAUUUUGUAUCAUCUACUGUUGUCGAUAAGUUUUGAAUUAAAUUUACGAAGUUUUUAUAUAUAACGUGUUUUUGUUCAGAUAGGCAUCUUUCC